rnacentral:rRNA from 1 species
GAUGAACGCUGGCGGCGUGCCUAAUACAUGCAGGUCGAGCGAACAGAUGAGGAGCUUGCUCCUCUGACGUUAGCGGCGGACGGGUGAGUAACACGUGGAUAACCUACCUAUAAGACUGGGAUAACUUCGGGAAACCGGAGCUAAUACCGGAUAAUAUAUUGAACCGCAUGGUUCAAUAGUGAAAGACGGUUUUGCUGUCACUUAUAGAUGGAUCCGCGCCGCAUUAGCUAGUUGGUAAGGUAACGGCUUACCAAGGCAACGAUGCGUAGCCGACCUGAGAGGGUGAUCGGCCACACUGGAACUGAGACACGGUCCAGACUCCUACGGGAGGCAGCAGUAGGGAAUCUUCCGCAAUGGGCGAAAGCCUGACGGAGCAACGCCGCGUGAGUGAUGAAGGUCUUCGGACCGUAAAACUCUGUUAUUAGGGAAGAACAAAUGUGUAAGUAACUAUGCACGUCUUGACGGUACCUAAUCAGAAAGCCACGGCUAACUACGUG